rnacentral:rRNA from 1 species
AUUGAACGCUGGCGGCAGGCCUAACACAUGCAAGUCGAGCGGAUGACGGGAGCUUGCUCCUGGAUUCAGCGGCGGACGGGUGAGUAAUGCCUAGGAAUCUGCCUGGUAGUGGGGGACAACGUUUCGAAAGGAACGCUAAUACCGCAUACGUCCUACGGGAGAAAGCAGGGGACCUUCGGGCCUUGCGCUAUCAGAUGAGCCUAGGUCCGAUUAGCUAGUUGGUGAGGUAAUGGCUCACCAAGGCGACGAUCCGUAACUGGUCUGAGAGGAUGAUCAGUCACACUGGAACUGAGACACGGUCCAGACUCCUACGGGAGGCAGCAGUGGGGAAUAUUGGACAAUGGGCGAAAGCCUGAUCCAGCCAUGCCGCGUGUGUGAAGAAGGUCUUCGGAUUGUAAAGCACUUUAAGUUGGGAGGAAGGGUUGUAGAUUAAUACUCUGCAAUUUUGACGUUACCGACAGAAUAAGCACCGGCUAACUCUGUGCCAGCAGCCGCAGUAAGAC